rnacentral:rRNA from 1 species
CACACUGUAAACGAUGGAUACUAGGUGUAGGCACGCAAGUGUCUGUGCCGGCGCAAACGCAAUAAGUAUCCCACCUGGGGAGUACGGCCGCAAGGUUGAAACUCAAAGAAAUUGACGGGGGCCCGCACAAGCAGUGGAGUAUGUGGUUUAAUUCGACGCAACGCGAAGAACCUUACCAAGACUUGACAUACAUGGGAAUACUGGGUAAUGCCAGUAGUCUUUCGGGACCCAUGUACAGGUGA